rnacentral:rRNA from 1 species
UACGGGGGGGGCAAGCGUUGUUCGGAAUUACUGGGCGUAAAGGGCUCGUAGGCGGCCAACUAAGUCGGAUGUGAAAUCCCCAGGCUUAACCUGGGAACUGCAUCCGAUACUGGAUGGCUUGAAUUCGGGAGAGGGAUGCAGAAUUCCAGGUGUAGCGGUGAAAUGCGUAGAUAUCUGGAGGAAUACCGGUGGCGAAGGCGGCAUCCUGGACCGAGAUUGACGCUGAUGAGCGAAAGCUAGGGGAGCAAACGGGGAUUAGAAA